rnacentral:rRNA from 1 species
GGACGAACGCUGGCGGCGUGCCUAAGCUUAUGCAAGUCGAACGCGAACGGCUCCUUCGGGAGCCUAGUAGAGUGGCAAACGGGUGAGUAACGCGUGGGUAACGUACCCUGAUCCUGGGAAUAACCCUCGGAAACGAGGGCUAAUACCGAAUGUGGCGAACGACCGGUUGGUCGCUCGCUAAAGGUGGCCUCUUCUAUGCUGCCGGGUUGGGAUCGGCCCGCGUCCCAUUAGCUAGUUGGUGAGGUAACGGCUCACCAAGGCCACGAUGGGUAGCCGGCCUGAGAGGGUGUACGGCCACACUGGCACUGAGACAAGGGCCAGUCCCCUAUGGGAGGCGCAGGCGGGAAUAGUUCACAAUGGGCGAAAGCCUGAUGACGCGACGCCGCGUGAGCGAAGAAGACCUUCGGGUUGUAAAGCUCUGUCAGGAGGGAAGAAGGCUCUACGGGUUAAUAGCCCGUGGAAUUGACGGUACCUCCAGAGGAAGCCCCGGCUAAAUACGUGCCAGCAGCCGCGGUAAUACGUAUGGGGCAAGCGUUGUCCGGAUUUACUGGGCGUAAAGGGCGCGUAGGCGGUUUGUUAAGUCGAAGGUGAAAUCCUCGGGCUCAACUCGAGAAUUGCCUUCGAUACUGGCAAACUAGAGUGGCGGAGAGGAAAGCGGAACUCUUGGUGUAACGGUGGAAUGUGUAGAUAUCAAGAGGAACACCGGUGGCGAAGGCGGCUUUCUGGACGCACACUGACGCUCAGGCGCGAAAGCGUGGGUAGCAAACAGGAUUAGAUACCCUGGUAGUCCACGCCAUAAACGAUGGGUACUAGGUGUCGGGGGUAUCGACCCCUCCGGUGCCGCAGUUAACGCACUAAGUACCCCGCCUGGGGAUUAUGGUCGCAAGGCUGAAACUCAAAGGAAUUGACGGGGCCCCGCACAAGCGGUGGAGCAUGUGGUUUAAUUCGACGCAACGCGAAGAACCUUACCUGGGCUUGACAUGCUUGGGACAGCGCUGGAAACAGCGUCUCUCCUUCGGGAGCCCUUGCACAGGUGCUGCAUGGCUGUCGUCAGCUCGUGUCGUGAGAUGUUGGGUUAAGUCCCGCAACGAGCGCAACCCUCGUUACUAGU